rnacentral:rRNA from 1 species
AGCAAUUAUACAGCGAAACUGCGAAUGGCUCAUUAUAUAAGUUAUCGUUUAUUUGAUAGUACCUUACUACUUGGAUAACCGUGGUAAUUCUAGAGCUAAUACAUGCUAAAAAUCCCGACUUUGGAAGGGAUGUAUUUAUUAGAUUAAAAACCAAUGCCCUUCGGGGCUCUCUGGUGAUUCAUGAUAACUUCUCGAAUCGCAUGGCCUUGUGCCGGCGAUGGUUCAUUCAAAUUUCUUCCCUAUCAACUUUCGAUGUUUGGGUAUUGGCCAAACAUGGUUGCAACGGGUAACGGAGGGUUAGGGCUCGACCCCGGAGAAGGAGCCUGAGAAACGGCUACUACAUCCAAGGAAGGCAGCAGGCGCGCAAAUUACCCAAUCCCGACACGGGGAGGUAGUGACAAUAAAUACUGAUACAGGGCUCUUUUGGGUCUUGUAAUUGGAAUGAGUACAAUUUAAACCCCUUAACGAGGAACAAUUGGAGGGCAAGUCUGGUGCCAGCAGCCGCGGUAAUUCCAGCUCCAAUAGCGUAUAUUAAAGUUGUUGUGGUUAAAAAGCUCGUAGUUGAACCUUGGGCCUGGCUGGCCGGUCCGCCUCACCGCGUGUACUGGUCCGGCCGGGCCUUUCCCUCUGUGGAACCUCAUGCCCUUCACUGGGUGUGGCGGGGAAACAGGACUUUUACUUUGAAAAAAUUAGAGUGCUCCAGGCAGGCCUAUGCUCGAAUACAUUAGCAUGGAAUAAUAGAAUAGGACGUGUGGUUCUAUUUUGUUGGUUUCUAGGACCGCCGUAAUGAUUAAUAGGGACAGUCGGGGGCAUCAGUAUUCAAUUGUCAGAGGUGAAAUUCUUGGAUUUAUUGAAGACUAACUACUGCGAAAGCAUUUGCCAAGGAUGUUUUCAUUAAUCAGGAACGAAAGUUAGGGGAUCGAAGACGAUCAGAUACCGUCGUAGUCUUAACCAUAAACUAUGCCGACUAGGGAUCGGACGAUGUUAUUUUUUGACUCGUUCGGCACCUUACGAGAAAUCAAAGUGCUUGGCUCC